GGAGUCUUCGGCAAUGGACGAAAGUCUGACCGAGCAACGCCGCGUGAGUGAAGAAGGUUUUCGGAUCGUAAAACUCUGUUGGUAGAGAAGAACGUUGGUGAGAGUGGAAAGCUCAUCAAGUGACGGUAACUACCCAGAAAGGGACGGCUAACUACGUGCCAG
rnacentral:rRNA from 1 species